AUAGAUUCGGCUGUACGUAUACUAAAAUUGGAACGAUACAGAACUUUGGCAUGGCCAUUGCGCAAGUAUGAUACGCAAAUUCGUGAAGCUUUCAUACUUUUA
rnacentral:snRNA from 1 species